CCUGCAGGCUCUCCCACCCUUUCCACACCAAGGUCCCUUGGCUGGACCAAUCCCUCAGGGGAAAUGAUCUUUCCAGGAGGCUCUCCCACCCUUUCAACACCAAGCUCCCUUGGUUGGACCAAUCCCUCAGGGGAAAUGAUCUUUCCAGGAGGCUCUCCCACCCUUUCAACACCAAGCUCCCUUGGUUGGACCAAUCCCUCAGGGGAAAUGAUCUUUUCAGGAGGCUCUCCCACCCUUUCAACACCAAGCUCCCUUGGUUGGACCAAUCCCUCAGGGGAAAUGAUCUUUCCAGGAGGCUCUCCCACCCUUUCAACACCAAGCUCCCUUGGUUGGACCAAUCCCUCAGGGGAAAUGAUCUUUCCUGGAGGCUCUCCCACCCUUUCAACACCAAGCUCCCUUGGUUGGACCAAUCCCUCAGGGGAAAUGAUCUUUCCAGGAGGCUCUCCCACCCUUUCAACACCAAGCUCCCUUGGUUGGACCAAUCCCUCAGGGGAAAUGAUCUUUCCAGGAGGCUCUCCCACCCUUUCAACACCAAGGUCCCUUGGUUGGACCAAUCCCUCAGGGGAAAUGAUCUUUCCAGGAGGCUCUCCCACCCUUUCAACACCAAGCUCC
rnacentral:lncRNA from 1 species